UCUAAAAUAGCCUGAAAGUAACACAGAACAUGGCAUUAACGUAAAGCACAGUGCCUCUGAAUGCAAACAGCUGAUUCUUUGAUAUCCCCCAUUGCUUCCGUUCAGUAACUAACCUGGAGGAGAGGCAAGGUUUAAAUUAUGCUGCAAAUGUUUUACUCUGAAGCAUGCAUUUGGAAAUUACAUAAAAUCAAAUACAAACAUGGCACUUUCUGCAAAUUCAUAAAAUAAUGGAAUUUCUGUAUCUGCUUGAUACUGAAAGGUUCUGCUUGGCUCCUGGGAACUCUAGAAUGUCUCUGUCCACUAACCACCUCUUUUCCUUUACUUCCUCUCAACCUCUAAGCACAGCAAGCUCUCCCGACCUCAGCAAAUCAUCCUGAAUAGCAGCUAUGCUCCAAGAUACACCUAGCAAUCACAGGCAAUAAGUCAAGCCCCCUCCCUCCUCACUUCUCUACUGUCAGACGUCUGUUUACAACCAGUGCACAGUCAUUCAUACUCGGCAAACUGUCAAGACUUUACACACGGGAGGCAAAAGCAUGAAACCUGCUCUCCAAGGAAAGACUGAAUGGUCCAGAGGAAGAAAGCCUGGCAGUCCAUAUGGAGCAGGAACACCCACAGAAAAAUGAGAUUUCUAUAAUUCCUCUCAAAGGCAUCAGAAAUAAACUUACAAAAUAAAACAAAUUUCUGUA